rnacentral:rRNA from 1 species
GAUGAACGCUGGCGGCGUGCUUAACACAUGCAAGUCGAACGAGAGAAGAUCGGUGCUUGCACUGAUCCGAUCGAGUGGCGGACGGGUGAGUAACGCGUGGGUAACCUGCCUCAUACAGGGGAAUAACAGUUGGAAACGGCUGCUAAAACCGCAUAAGCGCACAGUAUUGCAUGAUACAGUGUGAAAAACUCCGGUGGUAUGAGAUGGACCCGCGUCUGAUUAGCUAGUUGGUGAGGUAACGGCCCACCAAGGCAACGAUCAGUAGCCGGCCUGAGAGGGUGAACGGCCACAUUGGGACUGAGACACGGCCCAAACUCCUACGGGAGGCAGCAGUGGGGAAUAUUGCACAAUGGGGGAAACCCUGAUGCAGCGACGCCGCGUGAGUGAUGAAGUAUUUCGGUAUGUAAAGCUCUAUCAGCAGGGAAGAUAAUGACGG